UUUCACCAUGUUAGCCAGGCUGGUCUCAAACCCCUGACCUCAGCUGAUCCGCCUGCCUCAGCCUCCCAAAGUGCUGGGAUGACAGGCGUCAGCCACCGCACCCGGCCCAUGACAGAGAUCUUGAAGGUGAUGCAUGCUGUGUCAAUUGUGUUUCUAUGUGGCAGAGAUGAGGUAUAAAAAAAAAAAAAAAGAAAGAAAAAAAAACACCCAAAUUCCCUAAUGAAGUACUGAGAAGAUACUCAACCCUGUCAGGGGCCAUCUAUGUUAAGAGAUGAGGUCACCUUUUGGCACAAACUCUGGGAGAACGUCUUGAGCAAGAUACAGUAGAGACAAGACAUCCAUGGCACCAGUGAGAGUCAAAGUCAGAUCCAGUUACCCCGAGAAGGAUGAAGGGAAAGGCCUGGAAGAGAAUGGAUCUCAAGAGAAUGACUGUACCACUAAGGCUUGAACAAAAUCCCAGAAUCCAACCUGGGCCCCACUGCAGCAGCCACAAAUUCUGCUUUACUGGACAAGGAGCCCAUCACCAGUGACUUAAACAGAUGACCAGAGGUCCUGUUCCUCUGUUUAGCUGGCACAAGCCCUUGAAUCUGCACAUGAAUUGGGGAUUAACAUGCACGGAUAUUGUUGGAGCAUCAUCACCUUGCUACGCUGAGUGCUACUAUGACAAAAGCUGACAGUUUAGUAGGAAUGGUGAUGUCUCUGCAAUGAAGAUACCACGUAAGAUUCCUGUAUAAUUUAAGCACCGCACCGAUGAAGUUGAAUGUUUUGCUGGUCGUUUCCUGAUAUACUGUGAGGCAAUAUUGUUGG
rnacentral:lncRNA from 10 species